rnacentral:rRNA from 1 species
AACGCGAAGAACCUUACCUGGGCUCGAACGGCUUCUCAACGGCUGUGGAAACAUGGCUACCCCGCAAGGGGGUGGAGUCGAGGUGCUGCAUGGCUGUCGUCAGCUCGUGUCGUGAGAUGUUGGGUUAAGUCCCGCAACGAGCGCAACCCUUGUCCUGUGUUGCCAUGCCGCAAGGCGGCACUCGCAGGAGACCGCCAGCGAUAAGCUGGAGGAAGGUGGGGAUGACGUCAAGUCCUCAUGGCCUUUAUGUCCAGGGCUACACACGUGCUACAAUGGCCGGUACAAAGCGUCGCUAACCCGCGAGGGGGAGCCAAUCGCAAAAAACCGGUCUCAGUUCGGAUUGAAGUCUGCAACUCGACUUCAUGAAGCUGGAAUCGCUAGUAAUCGCGGAUCAGAACGCCGCGGUGAAUACGUUCCCGGGUCUUGUACACACGC